rnacentral:rRNA from 1 species
AACGGCCUUACCAUGCGGAAUAUACCUGUUCUCGUUAGAAUCACCGAAGUCAAGCAUCAUUGGGCGCGGUCAGUACUUGGGUGGGUGAGCACCUGGGAACACCGCGUGCCGUU